rnacentral:rRNA from 1 species
GAUGAACGCUAGCGGCAGGCCUAACACAUGCAAGUCGAGGGGUAGAAGGAGCUUGCUCCUUUGAGACCGGCGCACGGGUGCGUAACGCGUAUGCAAUCUACCUUGUACAGGGGAAUAGCCCAGAGAAAUUUGGAUUAAUGCCCCAUAGUAUAUAACCUUCGCAUGUUGGUUAUAUUAAAGUUCCAACGGUACAAGAUGAGCAUGCGUCCCAUUAGUUAGUUGGUAAGGUAACGGCUUACCAAGACGAUGAUGGGUAGGGGUCCUGAGAGGGAGAUCCCCCACACUGGUACUGAGACACGGACCAGACUCCUACGGGAGGCAGCAGUGAGGAAUAUUGGUCAAUGGUCGCAAGACUGAACCAGCCAUGCCGCGUGCAGGAAGACGGUCCUAUGGAUUGUAAACUGCUUUUAUACAGGAAGAAACCCUCCCACGCGUGGGAGCUUGACGGUACUGUAGGAAUAAGGAUCGGCUAACUCCGUG